rnacentral:lncRNA from 1 species
AUUGAUUUUUAGGCCUUCCUUAAUGAGAAUGUCAAAUAGCACUACCUAUAUGUAUACCUCCUUGAAAAUUGCAUUAAUAAUUUUAUUAGAAUAUACUCUCUUGAAGAAAUAAAGUAGGUAUAAAAGAAAAUAUUAAACAAUGGAGAGACAGGUAAGAUGCAUUCCGCCGAUUGCGACGUAAGUAUUCACCACUCGUUUUUACUAAAUUUCCUCGCAAGAAAACUAGCUAGUAUUUUCUCUCGAAAUUGUCGACCGAAGGUUUGGAUUAAUUUGUGUUUUACUUCGCGUAUUAACCAAAUUUUUGUGUUGAAAUUUCUCUCUGUGUAUAAUCGAACCUUCUGAGGGUAUAUAAGUAGGGUGAUGCAUAAUAAGUCAUCUUUCCGAUAUAAAACUGGCUGCAAAAUUAACGGCUCCUACAAAAUAUCGUCGCUUCUCUGGCCUAUGGGCGUAUCUCAAUUUUCACGUGAGCCCCACUUUCCAUAUAAAUCCAGGAUUUCUGGGGCUCACGUGGGAAUCAAGAUACGCCCUUACGUCAGAGGAACGACGAUCUAUGUGCUCGGUUGCAUGAAAACUCUUACUGAAAUUUAGUAAAUACGGUUUUUUACCUGACUAAGUCUAUUUUCGACGCUCUUGAAGCCCAGAAGGAGAUGAGCUGUGUUUUGUGGGGUGAGAGGAGCAGAUAGUGACUCAAAAUCGUUCUCAACGAUGAUACUACGAAUUUCCCGAUAUACUCCACAAAACACAGCUCAUCUCCUUCUGGGCUUCAAGAGCGUCGAAAAUAGACUUAGUCAGGUUAUGGUAGAUACAUGGAAGGACUGGACGGGUGCAUUAUAUAUUUAUAUGAAUUUGCCGGAGGAAUUUGGUCUGUCUCGAAUUCGGUUUUUCCUGCGAGAGGCGCCAAACAGUCUCUCUUUAUUCACGUACAUUGUGCUCGUUGAGUGCUGUAACGUCAUCGAUUCUGAGCGAGAGAUGCUGUUGCUGGACUUUGUGAGACGAAUGAGAGUAGAAAAAAUGGCUGGAUUCAUUUCACUGUACAAGAUUUCUCAGAAUUGAAGGAUGUCGAUGCUCAACCGCACUACCUUACUAAUUCAUUCAUGGAGGGAAAACGAAAUUUCAAAAUUCAAACGGCAUUUAAUCUCUUACACAUAAGACUUUUCGUAGUCAUGAAAUUUAAAAUGUUUAAAAUAAACAUUUUGUCAAUUUGAAUAACAAGUUCCCCCCUCCCACCAUUUAAAAUCAAUAAUUAUGAAUGUAAGUAUGUAAAAAAUCUAUCAUAUUGACUGUAAAUACUUUUACUUUGAUAUAAAAGAAGUUUUGAAAAAUCAAAGAAUUUUCUUGUAUUAUCCCUUUCAUAUAUCUUACCUUCUCCAUUUUUUCGAACCAUUUGAAAAGAAGCAAGG